CCCGUUAGCGUACGGGGCUACAAGGAACAGAACAUUAAAAUACGGCCAUCCUUGGUAUCCUUUUCUUGGCUGCUACGUUCUGAUCUGAGUUGAGCAAGCAGCGCCUCUUCCUGCCAGCCCUCAGCUGAUCCGGACGGUUUCAGGAGAAAACGCUGCAGUCUCGUGUGGCUUCAAUCGCCCCGAAAACUUCACCCCUACAGCAUUGCACUGGACCGUUAACGUCACCAAGGAUGUCCUCUUCUCUCGACAUAAAGGAUGGAUUGAUCCUGACGCAGCAGAUGCUCAAUACAAACACAGGACUUCUGUGAGCCUGGAGGACCUGGCCAGAGGAAUCCUGCUGGUGACCAUCUCCAAUGUGACUCCGUCUGACAGCGGAAACUACGAAGGUGUCGUCAUUGGAAAGCUUGCAGGCCACGACGACCCUUUGGAGUUGAAGUGUUCUGUCAAAUUUAUCGUUGCUGCAGAGAAGAGGAACCAUGUCUGGAAAGCUGUCCUCCUCGGUGUCGUAAUUCCUGUUGCUGUCGCUCUCGUUGUCGUUUGGAUUCUGGUGAAACGUGGAGUGAUCCCGAUUUGUAAGGAAGAAGGAGAACCAAAGGUAAUUUCCUUUAACAAGGAGAACCCUGCAGCCUCAGAGGGAGAUCAGCAGAGCGCUGCAGAAGAAGGCCUGAUGGGGUCAGAGGUCAACAACAACAAUCAACCAUCAGAUACGGUCUAUUAAAGGGUCAAUCAAGGCAGAAUAUACCUUUCUAUAUCACCUGACAAACAUAGGGCUGGGCCAUCAAUCAAUAUAACAUCUAUAUUGUGACAGACAUGGUAUCAUGUUGGCUUCAUGAUAUGUGUGUGUUCUCUCUUCCAUGUUUUUAAAGCAGCAUUACAUUGAAAUCAUGUCAUUUUGAAAUUGUGAUUAUCUGUUUUUAACCACUAGGUGGUGAUAUCCAUAUGACUUAAAAAACAAAAACAAAUAUAAGUCCUGCAGUUGUUCUAUAAAUUGAUUAGAGAGAUUACUUCUUUACUUCCAACAGCUUUAAAGCAGAGCUGUUUGGAGAGCUCCUCAGUUUCUAUAACAGUCUCCGACCAGACGAAUACAGAAAACUUUGCACUGAUGUACAUUUCUCAAAGAAAUUGAAAUGACUGUUAUUUUGUAUAUAUUGAUUGUUGUGCUUUUAUUUAGAUCUUAAUUUGUGCAUAUGU